GUGAAUCAUCAAAUCUUUGAACGCAAAUUGUGCCUUUUUCGGAGGGCAUGUCCGUUUGAGUGCACCAUUUAACAAAUAAUGUGCAUUUCGUGUGCACACGUUGAUGAGCUUUCCAAAUUUAUGUAUUAUUUUUGCUGGCGCAUAUUAAACAGCGCGAUGCUUUUUUUCAGUUCGGGUGUAGUAAAAUUUUUUCUUGUCUGGGUUGUGAAAAGCUUG
rnacentral:misc_RNA from 1 species